CAAGGAAGGCAGCAGGCACGCAAAUUACCCAAUCCCAGCUCUGGGAGGUAGUGACGAAAAAUAACAAUGCGGGACUCUUCCGAGUCUGCGUAAUUGGAAUGAGCACACUUUAAAUCCUUUAGCAACAACCAAUUGGAGGGCAAGUCUGGUGCCAGCAGCCGCGGUAAUUCCAGCUCCAAUAGCGUAUAUUAAAGUUGUUGCGGUUAAAAAGCUCGUAGUUCGAGUUCAGUUUCGGACUGGGGUGGGAGGUCACCGCCCGGUGCUUGCCCCCUAGGCUCCGAACAGCUUCCUAUAGUGGAAGCCAAGUCGGUUCUGGCGGGGUGCUCUUUACCGAGUGUCCCGUGCGGCCGGCCAGUUCACCUUGAAUAAAUGAGAGUGCUCAAAGCAGGCUACUCUGGAAUACAAUGCCGGAAUUUUGGUUGCAUGGAAUGAUGGAAGAUGAUCUCGGUUCCAUUUUGUUGGUGGUGGGAGCCAGAGGUAAUGAUAAAGAGGGACUGUCGGGGGCAUCCGUACUACGACGCGAGAGGUGAAAUUCAGUGACCGUCGUAGGACGAACAACAGCGAAAGCAUUUGCCAAGAAUGUCUUCGUUGAUCAAGAACGAAAGUUAGAGGAUCGAAGGCGAUCAGAUACCGCCCUAGUUCUAACCCUAAACGAUGCUGACUAGCAAUUCGCCGUCGUUAUUCCCAUGACGUGGCGAGACGCCCCCGGGAAACCUCAAGUUUUUGAGUUCCGGGGGUAGUAUGGUUGCAAAAGUGAAACUUAAAGGAAUUGACGGAAGGGCACCACCAGGAGUGGAGCCUGCGGCUUAAUUUGACUCAACACGGGAAAGCUCACCAGGCCCGGACACCAGAAGGAUUGACAGAUUAAGAGCUCUUUCUCGAUUUGGUGGGUGGUGGUGCAUGGCCGUUCUUAGUUGGUGGAGUGAUUUGUCUGGUUAAUUCCGGUAACGAACGAGACUCUGGCCUACUAAAUAGUGGACGUUGGUUUUGGUGCAUGGGCCACGUUCGACACAGUCUUCUUAGAGGGAUGAGCAGCGAGUAUAGCUGCAGGAGAUUGAGCAAUAACAGGUCUGUGAUGCCCUUAGAUGUCCUGGGCCGCACGCGCGCUACACUGAAUGGGUUAGCGGGUUGUCCUUGUCCGAGAGGAGCGGGAAAUCGCGUGAAAACCAUUCGUGAUAGGGAUUGGGGCUUGCAAUUGUUUCCCAUGAACGAGGAAUUCCCAGUAAGCGCAAGUCAUCAGCUUGCGUUGAUUAAGUCCCUGCCCUUUGUACACACCGCCCGUCGCUACUACCGAUUGAAUGAUUUAGUGAGGCCUUCGGACUGGCGGUCUUGGACUGGGCCGGCCGGUUACUUACUGCAGCAAUGCAUUGGUGCCGUCGACUCGCCUAGACGGGCCGGAAAGAUGUCCAAACUUGAUCAUUUAGAGGAAGUAAAAGUCGUAACAAGGUUUCC
rnacentral:rRNA from 1 species